AAAGCGUCGAUCUCAUAAAUAUACCUACGUAUAAUUAUACAUAUGUGAGCAUGCGCAUAUUUGUAUGAAUGUGGAAUUUUUUUAUCAAAUAAGAUAUCAAAGAAUAUAACUACGAACGAAGAAAUUAUUAGAAGCUUCUCGAAAUCAUAGUUUGGGACGAUAUGCAGGAUCGUCGGACUGGACUGCUGAGAAAUAGCUACUCGACUGUAGCUGAUGAACUUUUUUUAUACUACUGGCCAAUGAUGCAUGAAUAGUAUACUUAAAGCUGGUGUAAUUACGACAGUAGUUUCGAUAAUCUUAAAUUAUCUUGUUCCAGUGAAAAUAUAACCUCACAUUUACUAGGAUCUAUGUGCCUUAAAUGCCUUCCAGUGUAUCACCUCACACAAAGUGUCACCUCAUCUGACACAAAAUAUAAAUUGCGUUCUUUACUAUUAUAACAUAUUUGUAUAGCCAUUAUCAAUGAAAACCAUCUUUUAAUUGCAUAAUUGAUUUCUAUACUGUUGAUAUAUAUUCCUAUAUCGAUGUUCACAGUAUUGCUCAUCGUAUAUCGUCAGUGGCAUCUUUAUGACAUCUUUAUCUUUUUAAGCAUAGAUACAGAUCUUAAAUAAAGAUGACAUCUUUGUCUUUUUUCUUAAACGUUGUCCACAAGACAACGAAAUUUUACUUAUAUACAAUUUGCAAAGUUAGUGAAUCUUAACUUUGCAUUGCUAGUGACGGUUCUUAUGUUAUUUACUUAGUUAAUUGUUUUGUGGUAUUUGUGGUUCCUGAAGAAAGAAUACGUUGUUAAAUCAAAAGCAAAUUGCUUUAUCGAAAGUGUGUAAUGGGUGAUCUUUCUAUUCGUGGAUCAACUAUGCAGAAUUUUGAUGAUCUUGAUAUAGAAGGGCGCAAUCCUUCUCAUCUUUCAGAAGAAGAUAAGGAAAAGGAAGAACAUGAUCGGAAACGUUUAAUGCGAAGCAGUGUAACUGCUGAAGAUGGCACUCUCAGACCUGUGUAUUCCAAAACCGAUGAUGGUGACAUAUGGUGUCACAUAUGUAACAUUGCUCUGUUUGGAGCACAUAAGUUGAUAAGUCAUAAUUCGUGUAAUCGUCAUAAAAUUAAGUUGGACGAAUGGCCAUAUCCCGUGUUACUAUGGUCGAAACGUUCUGAUAUCGCGAAAGCAACUGCUCCUGUUCAAUCGACUGCCAUUACGGAUGCUUUAGCACCAGGUGAGCCAGUACCACCAGGAAUGGAAGAUCAAUUAACAAGAACGACAACGAUCCAAGUGAGUUUAGAUCGCCAUAGAAGUUCUCCGCUUGUUGGUCUUGAAUAUUUACUUGAACUUGUGGACAAUGAUUCCUGCGAACCCAGUUAUACUUGUGUUUUGUGUGAUAAACGUGGUGAUCCACGGACUGUGAUGGCUCAUAUUACCAGUUACAAUCAUCGGAUAACAUAUUUGAAUAGACAUUUUCCAACAAUAUCGCGAGCUAUUACAGAAUUACCGCGUACUCCUAAUUACAAACGUGGAGCCAACGAAAUAUCAGUGUUAGCAGCAAAAAAAAUUGAAGAACGAUUUGGAAGACUACAGCCACAAUUAGUAGACAAGAAUCAAUUUGAAAAAAAUAAAAUGCAAUAUAUCAAAAGGGUAUAUCAAGACUAUCAUUUUAGGGAAACACCUGAGUUAACAUUAAUGGAAGUUUACGAUGUGAGAUGGGUGACAAACUUUGAAGAAAAGAUGGCUGAAAUUGCUGGUAAUAAUAGUAAUAAGAAAGAUUCUCAAUCACCUGAAGAGAAAACAGAUGGAAAAUUUAAAAAGGAAGAGAAGAAACAAGAAAAAUCAUCUCCGAAGAAAACAGAAUCUAAACAAGAUGUUACAAAAUCGGUUUUCAAGAUACGAAUUCUUACCAAGGACAAAUUAAAUUUACGUAAGCCCAGUGAAAAAAACACGGAAAACUUAAAAAACUCUCCUAAACGCCCAUCAGACGAGACGAAAUCUUUAUCAUCACUAUCAAGUAUAUCAAGCAGCCCAUCGCCAUCGCGUUCAAGAUCACGUUCUCCCGUUCGUGAUAGAAGAAGUAGUGUAUCGGACAAGAGUAGCAAGUAUCGUACCAGAUCACGAUAUUCUCGUGAUCGUUCGCGUUCGCGUUCACGUUCGCGUUCUCGAUCACGAUCACGUUCAUUGGAACCACUUCGAGAACGCGAUAAAUGGGACAAGUAUCGGGAACAAAUUAGACGAGCCGAGGAAACACUCGAUCGCGCAUUAAAGUUCCAUGAAAAAAAUCCAGAAAAACAUCCUUCUUAUCCGGACGAGUGGAAAAAAUUCUGGAAUAGACGAUACAAAGAAUUGCAAGCUGAGGGCAAAGACCCGAGCAAACACGAUUUCAAACCCGAAUGGAUUGAAUUUUGGAACAAACGAAUGCGCGAGAUUCAUAAUGAUCAAUUACAACAAAGAAAAGAAGAAAUCAGAAAACGAUUGGAAUUAUCAGAAGAGAAGCCUCCUGAGAAGUGGAUUCCACCUUCAAGUAGACGCGAAAGAUCGCCUCCCUCAAAACGUAGCAGACAUCGUAUUGAGAGUGAUGAUGAAGUCGAAUACGUAGGUACAAAAACAAUAAAAACAGAUUAUUACGAUCGUCACGAUCCACGAGAAAGAGACUAUGUUUAUUCUUCCUAUUCACGAGGAAAAAGUAAUAUGUAUCGUAGUUAUUAUUCUCGGAUUGCACCACGUACGAGACCUAUCCAUUACGCGACACCAUAUCCCGUAAAAGACAAAUCACCAAGUCCACCGCAAAAGGAAGAAGUACUCAGCGAAGAUUUAGAAGUGGUAGGUUUAUUGCGACUUCUGACAGCUCUCGAGGGUCAAUUAGGAUCUCUAGGCCCUAAAAUAGUAUCACUUUUAUCACGGGCAUUAGCUGCUGAAAAAGCAAAGCCCAAUUCCGCUGAAGAAUUGCUUUACGACGAAGAAGUGAGCGUCCUAUUCGAAACAGUUAAAGAGAAACUGAAAGGACAGCUUUUUGCUGGUAUGAUAGAAAAAAUGGCUAUCGCGCCAACGAAGACAGCAAUACAAAACAUAGCGCAAUUAUUACACAAAGCAACUGAAAGUAAGAAAAAAAUGGAAGAGGAAAAGAAGAAAAAACACGAACUUCUCGAAGCAAGUAGAACUAGUAAUUUUGUGAGUGGAAGAACUAUAUAUCCUAGACCCAUAGAAAUGGUUACACCACCAAUUAAUUCCGAGCCAGUCACUGUUCCUGGCGUCGGAACUGUGGAUAAAGUUGCGAUAGCUCAACAAAUCGCUGCUGCUCUCGUUGCACAAGGUAGAUCGAAUGUGUCUCAGGAAGAACUAGAAACAUUAAUUAAUGCGGUAGUUGGUAUGGCAGAAGCAUCGAAACAUUCGGACAAGCCUGUCACCACCGCUGAUUUUGUGAAAGGUUUGGCAAGUGGUGGUACUGGUGUAACUGCCAGUGUUACAAGUGGUAUUACGACUGGAAUUACAGGCACCUUUCAAAGUAGUACAUCGACAUCCACAUCAACUUUAGUAACUUCUACAUUAACCGAUACAGUGGAUCAAGUUUCAAGAAUGGAAAAUUUAUCAGACACAGAUUUAAAGAUGCUUUUACAAAAUUUUAAAGACCUAAGUACCCACGAACAGCAUGGUCUUAUAAAUUUCCUUAAAAAGUUAGAAGCUACUGAUCUACCCAGGGUAGAAAAAUUAAGAGCAUUCGUUAAUUUAAGCGUUGUAGUACCUUCUAGCAUAUCGCUAUCAAAAAAAUCACCUACCCCUGAACUGAUUGAAAUGUCAACAAGCAAGACGAAUAGAAAAACCUCGCCAUUCUCUAUACGUAAAGGAAAUCAAAAUCCAUCAGAUGAAGAAAACAAAUGGGUACCUAAAUUAGAUAUGUUUGCUAACGACGAUGAGGAAGAACAACAGCAACAAAAGAAAGAUGAUGAUAAAUCUAAAGUGAAAUUAGAAUUAUCGGAUGAUGACGAUGAUUAUACUUUCGAAGACAUUUACAAAGCAGCUGAUAAAAAUGUGAAUGAAAGUGAGAAAGCAAAAAAAAGGACACGUGUCUUUUCAAAAUCAAUUUCGAAUUCGCCUCGCUCGUGGUCUAGAUCACGUUCGCGUUCGCGUUCACGAUCACCAGCAACGAGAACUUCGGAUAUCACGAAAUCUAAUGAUCCCAAUGCGAUCCUAAACGAAACUAAACGUUUAAUAGCGAAUAUCAUGGGUGAUCUUCCUAACAAAUAUGUACCAAAAUCACAUAUAAACUUCGCUAAUGAAAAUUCAGAACAAAGAUCGUCAGGUCCAAAGAUGAUAGAUCAUACUUCAUCGGCGAUAGCUCCGAUGCAAAACUUUUAUAAUCAAAAUUAUGAUGCACCAACUAAUCAGCCACCCCGACCACAAGCUCCACCAUUAACUUAUCCAAACGUUCCUAAUCAACAAUUUCCGAAUUAUCCACCUCAACCGCAAGUUUUUGGUACUAAUCAGAAUUACAUAGACAAUGGUUAUAAUUAUCAAGGAUAUGCUAACAUGAGUAAUCAAAAUCAAUAUGCUCCAUCAACUGUACCACAAAAUCAAUACUCUCCACAGCAAGGAUAUGGUGCUGCUACUGGAUACGGUGGUCCACCGGGUGGUCAUCCAUCUGGAUAUCCUCAACAACAAUCAUCUCAACAACCGCAACAAUCAUAUGGAACAUAUGCGCAACAACAACGUUUCUACUAAACACUUCAUUGUAUAGAAUAGUAGCGCGUGUGUCGAUAAAAGAAUGCCAUUAACAAAUUUUAUACAAAUCAUCGCUACUCGAUUAAGACAGUGUCUUUCUAUUCCUAGAUGUUUUUGAAAAUUCUUUCAAUUAACUUGGAAUAGAAUUAUGUCAAUCUUUUACAAUGUUUUGUGAUGAAAAUAUCGCAAGUUUUAGUUUCAGAAAACAGAAUAUUAUUAUCCGUAUAUUUAUGUUAAUACGGCCACAGAACUUUUUAUUUUCAACAGAUUUCCAAUUUUGUCCAUUGUAUAAAUAUAAAAAGAAAACAAUGCGUUUUGCCUGCGUUACUACUUUCCGAUGAACACUUCGAUUUUUCUCGUUCUUCGUGGUGCCUACAUUUAAGAUUUUGAAAUAUUCUCAUUAUUACAUUGUUUUUUUUUCUUAUACAUGUAUCUAUUAAAAUUAUUUUUCUUUUUUUAUCGCUUUAUUCUGUCUGGAGAAAAUCGCGCAAAGACUACUAUCGUUUCAAUGUGGAAAUUGUACAAGAAAAGUGAAUAUGUAUGAAUGAAUGUGUUUCAUAUGACUGUGUAUGUGCUCGAUCGAUACAUCCUACGUGGUAAAAGAACGUUACAGAGAAAGCAGAUAAACAUUGUACUGGAGAAAUCUGAAAAAAUGCUGAUGCCAUAAAAAAAAUAAAAAUUAAUAAAUAAAUGAAUGUUAACAACGUAUCGACAUAAACGCAGCAGCGGAUAAACAAACGACUUGUAAAAAUGUGACAUUUAAAAUAAUUACGAAUAAUGUUGAAAUGGAAUUGACCAUAAUCAUAUGAAAAGAAUGAUUGUAAAAUGAUGAGAAAAAUACAUAAAAAUGAAUCGUUUA